GAUUACCGAUGAUGAUUAUUGCUAAACUAUGGAAUUACCGUCUGAGUUUAUUCUUUGACGAGAAAAACGCUGGCUUACUGAGGUUUCCC
rfam:Arabidopsis thaliana mRNA for unknown protein, complete cds, clone: RAFL17-39-E02.